rnacentral:rRNA from 1 species
AUGCAAGUCGAACGAUGAAGCUGGAGCUUGCUCUGGUGGAUUAGUGGCGAACGGGUGAGUAACACGUGAGCAACCUGCCCCUGACUCUGGGAUAACAGCCGGAAACGGCUGCUAAUACCGGAUAUGCACCAUGAACGCAUGUUCUGUGGUGGGAAAGAUUUUUCGGUUGGGGAUGGGCUCGCGGCCUAUCAGCUUGUUGGUGAGGUAAUGGCUCACCAAGGCGUCGACGGGUAGCCGGCCUGAGAGGGUGACCGGCCACACUGGGACUGAGACACGGCCCAGACUCCUAACGGGAGGCAGCAGUGGGGAAAUAUUGCACAAURGGCGAAAGCCUGAUGCAGCAACGACACGUAGAGGGAUGACGGCCUUCAGAAAUAUAAACCAUAAUAAUUAGGCAAGAACAGGAAGCAAAGGAAAUUACGGGUACCCUGACAGGAA